rnacentral:lncRNA from 1 species
UGACAAUUUUUAACGGCCGAUAUGGGAUACUUGCAAGUUUAACGGUAUAAAAGAAUUGAAAUAUGUUGAAUUUUUGAUAGAAAAUUCUAUUCACUAUCUAGAUAAAGAUCAAUAACUCCGAUCUUAAAUUGAAGGAUCCGAUCAUCCAUUUUUAGGACGUCGUUCGAUUUUGACCGUUCAUUUUAUGCCCGUUUGAUGGACUUUAUUAUGAUUUCAAAAAAUUACGAAAUUU